GUCUGUCAGUAGUAAAGACAGUCGUAAGUCUUCCUCUAAACAACUGUGAUGUUGUGGUCCACGGACGCCGUAAUCAGAUGUCGUCCCUCCCCAACCCCCGCGUCUCUCAUCCCACGUGUUCAAUGGAGAAGAGCUACAUGUAUCAGACUAUUGAACUGCCUGCCAGCUGCCAGAAAAUGACAAGAAGUGGAAGAAGAAGAAGAAUUACAUGAACCCCUUCAGACGACAGAUGUCGGGAAUGAUGGAACCUGUGUACCUUAUAGUUCCACCUCCCUGCACCCCUGUGCCUGUUCUUAAGUUUCCUCCACUUCCCGGCCCGGUCCUCCUGGCCCAGUCAAGGUCAGACCCACUCACCCCACUCCCUCAUCAUUAAAUCUGGACUGGUUGGGCUGACAUGUUGUUUUGUUCUCUAAAUUGGUAGGCCAGUAGAUAACCUAGAAUGUGGAAUAAUUGAAUGGCUACGGCUACAGUCAGGUUUUACUAAGUAGGGUUUUUUCAGUCAGGCUCUGAAAUUAAAAACACAGAGACCGAGACACUAUCAGAGGAACUAACCUGGCUGGGUGAAAAGAGUCUGGCCAGCUCGUGUGUGAUAAGAGAAAUUGCCCCCUUGUUGAUAGACAAGGAGAAAAACAUUUUAUUUGGUUGUAGUGGAUUUGGCCCCUGGCACAAUCUUCAGUACCAAUAACAGAUGCUGACAACAUCGACGAAUGGAACGUUUUUUGUGUUGAACAAAUGGUUCGGUCUCUCGACCGUUGAAUCACACAUUGGGACUUCCCUGUUACUUCUCCGCUGGUAGAAUGUUGACCCGACCUGGCUGUAGGGGCCCGGUUCUCUCUGGGGCCACACAU